CCUACGGGAGGCGGCAGUGGGGAAUAUUGGGCAAUGGAGGAAACUCUGACCCAGCGACGCCGCGUGCGGGAUGAAGGCCUUCGGGUUGUAAACCGCUUUCAGCAGGGAAGAAGCGAAAGUGACGGUACCUGCAGAAGAAGCACCGGCUAACUAUGUGCCAGCAGCCGCGGUAAUACAUAGGGUGCACGCGUUGUCCGGAAUUAUUGGGCGUAAAGAGCUCGUAGGUGGUUCGUCACGUCGGAUGUGAAAAUCUGGGGCUUAACCCCAGACCUGCAUUCGAUACGGGCGAGCUUGAGUAUGGUAGGGGAGUCUGGAAUUCCUGGUGUAGCGGUGGAAUGCGCAGAUAUCAGGAGGAACACCAAUGGCGAAGGCAGGACUCUGGGCCAUUACUGACACUGAGGAGCGAAAGCGUGGGGAGCGAACAGGAUUAGAUACCCUGGUAGUCCACGCCGUAAACGGUGGGCACUAGUUGUGGGGACCUUCCACGGUCUCUGCGACGCAGCUAACGCAUUAAGUGCCCCGCCUGGGGAGUACGAUCGCAAGAUUAAAACUCAAAUGAAUUGACGG
rnacentral:rRNA from 1 species